AUAAUCUAUGGGUCUACUAGAGCUACCCACUUUGAUCAAUUAGCCAAGAUUUUGACCGGAUACGAAAUAACUGGUGUUCGAUCUAGUCGUAUUUUUAUGGGGAUUCUAUCUAUCGCUGUAGGAUCCCUAUUCAAGAUUAAUGCAGUUCCUUUUUGGGCGGCUGUAGAAUGGACGACCGCCUAUAGGUGGGCAUUGAGACCAUAG